GCGUCCUUAAUUGGUUGUGAGUUUGUGCAACAUUUCCGGGAGUGCUGUUCGUUUACUCUUCGCGAAGGGCGGAAAAAACUCAAACAGAGCUAAUACGUAGAAGCUGCAAACAUGGUCUGACUGAUUAUAAAAGCGAGCGUAUACGCCGUCAGGAAGAUCCGGGCGGCCAUUGCUAAGAGAACGCAAGUGGAAGAGCCCAUUGUGAUGCCAUGUAGUGCUAUCGCUGAAAAGAGAGCUGCGGGAGCGCUCAGAGAGCCACCGGAUGCCAUAAUGACAUCUGAAAAUGAUGAGGCCAUCAGCGGGGAAGUGGCCUCCAGAACACCUUUGACUGUGCAGAAAUAUGACUCUUGACGUUAAAACGCAAAUUACACUGGUCAUUCAUAAGUAGCCUCAAUAUGGAUGGAUGGAUGGAGUGAUGCAUAAUAAGUUGCUGCUAAAAACAAUUUUAUGCUAAUAUGGCAUAUUGUUAAGUGAAAAUUUUAUAAUGACCACACUGUGCUCCUCUUAAAACGUUUAUUUGAAUCCUGUUGUAAAAUGUUGAUAAUGUCUGCUGCAGCGUAUGAAGACUCAACUCACAAACCUCUUCAAAGAGGCUGAGCAGGUCUGAUGUGUUUUGCAAUGAUAAUAUCAAUAAAUGCUUGAAAUUAA